UACGUAGGUCCCGAGCGUUGUCCGGAUUUAUUGGGCGUAAAGCGAGCGCAGGUGGUUUAUUAAGUCUGGUGUAAAAGGCAGUAGCUCAACCAUUGUAUGCAUUGGAAACUGGUAGACUUGAGUGCAGGAGAGGAGAGUGGAAUUCCAUGUGUAGCGGUGAAAUGCAUAGAUAUAUGGAGGAACACCGGUGGCGAAAGCGGCUCUCUGGCCUGUAACUGACACUGAGGCUCGAAAGCGUGGGGAGCAAACAGG
rnacentral:rRNA from 1 species